AACGAACGCUGGCGGCAUGCCUAACACAUGCAAGUCGAACGAGACCUUCGGGUCUGGUGGCGCACGGGUGCGUAACGCGUGGGAACCUGCCCUUAGGUUCGGAAUAACUCCCCGAAAGGGGUGCUAAUACCGGAUAAUGUCUUCGGACCAAAGAUUUAUCGCCUUUGGAUGGGCCCGCGUUGGAUUAGCUAGUUGGUAGGGUAAACGCCUACCAAGGCGACGAGCCAUAGCUGGUCUGAGAGGAUGAUCAGCCACACUGGGACUGAGACACGGCCCAGACUCCUGCGGGAGGCAGCAGAGGGGAAUAUUGGACAACGGGCGAAAGGCUGAACCAGCACGGCCGCGUGAGUGAUGAAGGCCUUAGGGUUGUAAAGCUCUUUUACCCGGGAUGAUAAUGACAGUACCGGGAGAAUAAGCACCGGCUAACUCCGUG
rnacentral:rRNA from 1 species